GUGUUAUAACUGUUUUCUAGAAAUCACCUCUGAUAGUGUCACCUCUAUGGUGGAACGCACCAUUAGGAGUGACUGACUUAGAUCAGACUGGUCGCUGAUUGGUCCAUCCUUCUGGCGGGAGUUAGGUUAACGGACCCCUCCCUUAAUUCUAGUGGAAUGCAUCGCAGGUGGAAGUAAGGAUUAUUUUGUGGAAGAAGACUUUUCGCAUUCUGUCGAUCUGGAUGUUCAGCUGGUCUCAGAUCAAGCAUCCUCUUCUGUACUGACUCCAAUAUCCCCAGCUUCAUCCCAUUCCUCAGAUUCCACAAUUGUCCUUGAGUCCACAAGAAAGAGGAGGAACCCAACAGGGUUAAUGGACCAGAAUGAAGCAAGAGAGAAAGUUGAUUGUGUUCUGAGGGCCAGUCCAAAGGGUGAGGAAAUCUUCAAGGAGUAUGAAAAGACCAAAACACUAACAGAGGCCACACGUGAACAGAUGGUGACCGUCCUGGUUGCAGACAUGUUAGAGCUACAUGGGAGGAUUCCAUCGUCAAGUGUGAGGACCAGUUACACACUGGGUAUUGUGAAACUUUUUCCAUACCUCCAAGAUCCUUUCUCCAAACAUGGAUAUGAACACUACCAUGAUCCUGAGGGUAAUACUGGCUUCAUUGCAUGGAGGAUCAAGACAGUUCAACGUAACAACUGUGCUGGCUCCCGGUGUCAUUCCAAGACUGUUCUUCCGGAUGGUCCAAAAACCAGACAAGAAUCUCUGUUAACCUGUCAACAGCUAUUUGGUGAGGAGUGCAGGGAGGCGAUAUCUACAAUAAGACUUUCCACUGAUGAAUCUGUGGUCAAAGAGAAGAUGAGAGCGACUUUCCAAUAUCGACAGAAGAUGGUCGUGAGGAUGCAUCAUCUUCAGUCCUGGAUUUGUUCCCUCGUUUCCUUGAUGUAGAUGGAUUGAUCAGGAUUUCUCCAUGAUGUUUGGUGAGGAAGUGUCUCAGAAGUUCCUGGCAAUGUGGUCAACAUUCUUCAAGCCAAAAAUCAUUGCAGACUGCAAGACUCUUAAGAAUAUGGGCAAGCUGCUGUCAGGAACUGAACCUGAAUCUGAGGACUACAAUGGAUGGGACAGUGAUAUGUCCUCAAUCCUUUUGCUGCUGCACCUGCUCCCUCCAACCUCAAGAAAAAAAACAUCCAAAAAACAUCCAAGAUCAGUUCAGCUCAAGCAACGAGCCAUCUUGUGAGAUAUCUUAAGGCAUGCAAAAGUUAAUAUUUAAACAUCAGAUCUUAAUUUUAGGAAUUCUUGAGGUGUAGAUUAUUUGGGGAUUCUGAGACCUGCAUCUCAUUUUGCUUACUCCACCUGCAAACAAGAUGUGACGGUGCUAGUGAUAAUGUAAAAAAACAUGCAGAGAGUUUUAUUGCCAUAUUUAUUUUAAGUCCCUUUGUUGACCUACAGGAAGGAGCCAGUGUGACUACCUUCAUUGAGAGUGCUGACACAAGACAACCAUUCCUCCUCUGCAUCGGUGAGCAAAAGAAGGAUAUCCAAAAGUUCUACGUUAUUAUCGACCAAAAACCGAUCCCAUGUAAGGCGUACACAUCAGUGGCAGCUUUUGAUGAACUGUUCAAAGCUCACUAUGUCUUCAGUCUCUCAUAUGAUGAAGCUCUUUGUGAUUUCUACCCAUUUAUCCAAACCACUAUCUAUAACAUCAAUGUCGGAAGAGCAAGGGAGAGCUCGCGUGUUAAAGAACUUCUAGCAUGAUUGCUGCAGCGAGAUUAACAGCCUUGAAGAGGCAAAAAAGUCAUGUGUGCUCAAUUCAUUACAGUAUUUCUAUUGUACUGAUAACUAUGCUGUUGACAUCAUGCAUGAUCUGCUACAGGGUGUGGUACAGUAUGAACUUAAGCUGGUUUUUGAGUACCUUGUCAAACAGGACUACGUCUCUUUGAACACAUUGUCAGAUAGGAUACAGAGCUUUAAUUAUGGUUACACAGACCGUAAAAACAAACCAACUGGGUUAAAAAUGGAUAAGAGCAAACACCUGGGAGUGAAUGCCAUGCAGUCAUGGUGUAUUCUGCGCAACACUCCACUGAUAUUUGGUGAUGUCAUUGAAAGGAAUAACAAUCACUGGAACUUUCUCCUGCUUUUGAUACAGAUUGUCAAUAUAGUGUUCUCCUUCACCAUAACUGAUGGGAUGAUAUGUUACUUAAAAGAUCUGAUCUGUGAUCACCAUACUCUAUUCAAAGAACUGUUUCCUGACAAGAGGUUGAUUCCCAAGCACCACUUGAUGAUACACCAUCCGAGAUGCAUUAAAAAAAAUUUUUUUUAAAAAGAAUAUAAAAAAUAUUUUAAAAUAUUUGCCACAUAAAAAAUAUGUGGCAAACAUUUCAAGAAUCUCAUUAAAUCAUUAGUAAAGCAACAUCAACGUCAAUUGGCAUUUAACUAUGAAAAUUAUUGUUUUAGAAGGUUUGAAUUUGGUACUACAACAUCAGAAACCAUCUGUAACUUGCAAGGUGGGGAAGAACUCAGUCAGACAUUAUAUUUAGAAGCCUGUUUGAGUGUUACAAGUACAAAGUGGGUCAGACAUUAUCGUACUGAGUAUCAAGUUGGUUUGUUCAUGUGCACUGGAUGUACCUAUGAUCUCCCUGUGUUCAAAAAGAUCUGUGAGAUAAUAAUAUAUGAAGAGAGUGCUUUCAUAAUUUCCUUUAAUGUAAAAACGAUGUACUAUGAUGACCACUUCAAUGCAUACUGUAUAGAAGAUGACCAAAUGGAUGAGUUUUCUGUCAUCUCUGUGAAUGAACUGACACAUUUUAGGCCAUUUGAAAAGCAGUGCUCUAAUGAGAAUAAUCAAAGAGACUACAUAGAGCCCAAUUGUUAUAUUUAGAAAGACUUGACUUUGAUUGACUUGGCGUCAGUAAUGUUAAUGCCUUU